GUCUUUCGUCCACUCUUCUCUCAGCGGGCGCUCCACGGCCCUGCUCUGGGCUCGCCUGAGUGCUGGGCUCUGCAGACGCAGGGAUGGGCCAGGCGAGCCCCUCACCACGGAGGUAGCAGGUCCAGAGGAAGCAGCAGAGGCUUCCUGGAGGAGGAUUUGUACCCCUAGGAGGACUAUGUCUUCCUCAUCUUUGUCUUCAGAGGAUAAAUACAAGGCCUGACACAUAACAAGCAUGAGAUUAAUUUACCCGAGGUCAACCACGGUCCAAAGAUAUUAAAUGGAAAAUUCCAGAAAUAAACAAUGUGUAAGUUUUCAGUUGCAUGCUAUUCUGAGUAGCAGGAUGAAAUCUCGUGCUGUCCGGCUUCGUCCCACCUGGGAUGUGAAUCAUCCCUUUGUCCAGUGGAUCCGCGCUAUAGACACUACUCUCCCAUCAGUCACUCAGCAGCUGCUUCAGUUCCCAGAUCAACUGUCGCAGGAUCGCAGUGCUUCUGUUCAAGUAAUCCUUAUUUUACUUCAUUAUGGGCUCCAAAGCACAAGAGGAGUGUUGCUGGUGAUUCCGAUAUGCCAAAGGAAAGCUGUAAAGUACUUCCUUUAAGUAGAAAGGUGAAAGUACUUGACUUAAUAAGAAAAUUUAAAAAACAAAAUUGUAUGCUGUGGUUGCUAAGAUCUACAGUAAGAAUGAUUCUAUUCAUGAAAUCGUGAAGAAGGAAAGAAAUUUGUGCUAGUUUUGCUGUUGCAACUCAAGCUGCAAAAGUUACAACACCUGUGUGUGAUGAGUGCUUAGUAAUGAUGGAAAAGCCAUUAAAUUUGUGGGUGCAAGACACGGACAGAAACGUUCUGAUUGACGGCAAUCAGGUUCCAUUGGGGGUAUUGGAACACAUCCCUGAGGAUAAUGGGGGACUACUGUAUUCUACCAACUUAUUCCUCUUGAAGAAUUCCCUUUCGGAUUUCUGACUGCUGAGUCCUGGACUGGUUGAUGGCAAGGCCAGCUGCCCUGGUUGUCACCUGGAGACUGUGCUGCACUUUUCUCCUGGGUCGAACCCCUCAAUUCCUAGAUCCCACGUCUUCCCCUUCUGGGUUCACUACCUUAUUUGGGGGAACAUAUACCCAUAGCUUUCUUUUUGUUUUAUUUUUUGUUUACCUAUUUAUUUAUCUUAUUUUAUUUUUUGAGACGGAGUCUCCCUCUGUUGCCCAGUCUGGAGUGCAGUGGUGUGACCUCGUCUCACUGCAGCCUCCACCCCCCAGGUUCAAGCAAUUCUCCUGCUUCAGCCUCCCAAGUAGCUGGGACUACAGGUACGUGCCACCAUGUCUGGCUAAUUUUUGUAUUUCUAGUAGAGAUGGGGUUUCUCCAUGUUGGCCAGGCUAGUCUCAAAUUCCUGACCUCAGGUGAUCCAACCGCCUUGGCCUCCCAAAGUGCUGGGAUUGCAGGCAUAAGCCACUGCGCCUGGCCCCAUGUAUACCUAUACUUUUCUAAAAGGAUGUGUUUGGGGUGAAAUCUUAAGACCUUGCCUUUCUAAAAGUGCCUCACAUUUAAUCAGAUAGUUUGACCAGGUAUAAAUUUCUAAACUGGAAAUAUUUUUCCCUCUGAAUUUUGAAGGCUUGCUCCAUUGUCUUCCAGUUUCUGCUGAAAAGUCUGAGGCCAUUCUGUUUCCUAAUCUUUUCUAGAGACUCUGUUCUCUCUUUCUGGAAGCUGUGUCCUCAGUGGGUCUUUUCUUUUAAGAGAAGGGAUCCCAUCGCCACCGAGGCUGGAGUUCAGUGGCACAAUCAUCGCUCACUGCAGCCUUGACCUCCUGGGCUCAAGGAUCCUCCUGCCCCAGCCUCCUGAGUAGUUAGGACUACAGGCUCAUACCACCAUGCCUGCUCAGCCUUAGUGUGUCUUGAAGUGAAUCGAUUUCCAUUCACUGUGCUGGGUACCCAGUGAGUCCUCACGGACAAACUAAUCAUCUUCAUUUUGGAGAAAAUUUAAAAGAAGUACCUCUAUAAUGAUUUUAUUUUUUCUUUCAGGAACUCCUUAAUUAUUCAAAUACUGGCCCUCCUGGAGCAGUUCUCUAUAUUUCUUAUAUCCUUUUUCCACCUAUUUUUCAUCCCAUUUUGCUCUUCAUUCUGGAAAUGUUCUUCAACUCUUCAACAGUUUUUUGUUGUUUUUCAAAAAUUUAUCUUAUCAUAUUUCCAAAAGCCUUUUGUUUGUUCUUUGACUAUUCCUUUUUUUAGAGUAUCUCGUUCUUUUCUCACGGAUGCAAUAUUUUCUCUUAUUUCUUUGAGGAUGUUAGUAAUGUUUUGUUGUUGUUUCUGUUGAAGUGUUUCUCACCAUGCCUAAUCUCUUCUUUGUCCAAGUUAAUUUUUUUUUCUGAUUGUUGAAAAGACAAGCCACAUACUGGGAGAAUAUAUUACAGCACAAAUAACGCACAAAGCAUUACUAUCCGGAAUACAUAAGUAAUUCUUACAAAUUGGUAAGAAGACAACUCAAUUAAAAAAGAGCAAAAGAUAUGAAUGAGCAUUUCACAGCAGAAAAAUAUGAAUGAAAAAUAAACCACAAGAAAAGAUUCUCAGCCUUAUAGAAAUCAGGAAAAUGUAAAUUAAGACCACAGGAAGAUUUUCCAUGGAAAAGAAGUCCCAUAGUGGCAAGUAUUGGAGAGGCAGGAAUCAACAGGGAUCCUUAUAUGCUCCUAAUGCAGUGUAAAUUGCUGCAACCACUUUAGAAUAUUGCGAUUUCAUUACUAAGUGUAAACCCUGGAGAUACACUUGCAUGCAAGCACCCAGAGACAGGUGCAAGGAUAUUCAUAGCAGUGCUGUUUAUUAUGGUAAAAACAUGGAAACCACCCUAAUGUCCUUAACAGUAAAAUUAAUUAAUUGUGGCAUCACCAUAUAAUGAAAUCCUAUACAGCAGUGGCAAUGAGUCUAACAUAGCUGUGGCUGGAUACAGAAGGAAUCAUAGAAUUAUAAUGCGGAGUGAGAAAAGCCUGUUGCAGAAGACUACAUACAACAGGAUUUGACACUUGUAAGGCUCCAAAACAAAGAAAAUUAAAUGAUAUUGUUUAGGUUUUCAUACAUAGGUGAUAAAAGUGUGUUUCUUUGUUUUUAAUGAGAAAAUUAGUCACAGAAUUUAAGAUCUUAGUUACUUCUAUAGGGAAGGCAGGGGAAUGGGACAAGGAGGAAGCCCACAGCAUUGGUCAUGCUCUCAUGUUGAAGUUGGGUUCAAAGGUGUUCAUUAUUAAAAUGCUUCAUAAUGAUGACCAUACAUUUGGUAUUUCUAGGACAAUCUUGGUUUACAUCUAUUGUCUCAACAUAAUUAUUCAGUGCAAGCCUUUCCUUUCUCAGAAAGGUCCUAAUGUAGAUAAUAAAUUAUUUUGGCCAACU
rnacentral:lncRNA from 1 species